ensembl:lncRNA
CCUAAAGCAACAUGUGUCUCAGAACUGUGGGAAAGAAUGCAUUGUGCAACAACUCCUAACUUCCCAGAGCUACUUAUUGAGUGGAUUGUCAAACAACUAGAGUCUAUGGUGGUUAUAUCCUUAACUGCUAUGUCAUUUUAUUUCUUGGUGGAAUGGGAAUAGGCUAAAUAUAAAAUAUGUAGAGCACUUGUCUUAUCACACAGGCAAGUAGUCCAUCUAAGUCCAAUCAGACUUCGGUAGCAUUUUCUGCCAUCUUGCGUGAGUUAUCUGUGAAAGAGACUAAAAUUAAAUAAUUUGCAGGCCUAUGUAUCAACAAUUGGAAAUUCCCAUCGAUUUGAUGAUGUCAUUACACACAUGCUUUGAAGCAAGAGAGCGCUGCGAUGCAUCAUGACAUUGCCGUCUGAUAUCAAGAGGAGAGUAACGUAUUUACCUCGACUGUUUUAAAGAAAACUUGAGGAAUAUCUAAAGCCUGUGUCGUCAUAACAAGGAAAGUCUGUCUUCCACGGCAACCUUGGAUCGGGAGUUAAACUACUCUGCACAAGUUGAAGUUUAAAAUCGGCAGGCAUAUUGUGACGCUGCGGUUGUCCAACCCAAGACCACGUCCAUUUCACUGGAGAAGCUAUGAUGACAGACGUCUUGAGGAUGUUUUUUAUUGGGACAGCGUUCACUGUCCUCGCCGCGCUGAUGGGAAUGGUGGAUUCAUUUGGUGGUCUCAUGUAUGUCCAAGACGCGGAUCCUGCAGAGUAUUUACAGUUGGACAGCAGUACUGACAUACGGAUGUCUUCAACCCAUUCGAGAGGUUCAGGGAGUACCAAACGCAUUGGACCAUGAUGAGGACGUCAUGUAGAGUAGAAUUAACACGAACAGGCUUGGUUUGUGUUGUGUUUUCGUGUGUCAAUUACUGCUUGCACUGUACAAUGUGUACACUGAUUUUUACAAUAACAUUAUUGAGUCUUUUAUCAUGGUUCCUUUCAGUUCCACUAGUUGGUGUCCCACUCCCACUGGGCAAAAACUGGUUGAAUCAGCGCUGUUUCCACGUUAUUUCAACCCCCGAAAAAUCUAUGUGAUUACGUUGAAUGAGUAGAAAACGGAUUGGAUUUGCAAAAAGUCAUCAACGUAAGGGCACUCUGUCUCUUUUAACCUGAAUCCAAUGACAUAGUGAUAUUUUUUUGUUGAAUUGUGCAAUUCAGAACUAGACGUGUAACUGACGUCUGUGCGCAGUGGGGUUUGAUUUAUACAGGUCACACGGGUUUGAUGAGUUUAACUUGUUUUUCACAUUUGAAGAACACCCUAGUUGAUGUUUAUAGUAGGCUAUUACUAAAGUACUAGGUCAUAUUGACAGCUAUUAUUAUGUAUUUCUAUCUAUAUACUAUACUAAUACUUACUUGGUAGGACAGCAGGUAGAGCGUUGGGGCUGUAACUGAAAGAUCGCAGGCUUGAAUCCCCGAGCUGACUAGGGGGAAAAAUCUGUCUGUGCCCUUGAGCAAGUUACUUAAUUUAGCAAACGCUAAAUCGCUCUGGAUGGGAGCGUCUGCUAAAUGACAAAAAUGUACUAAUCUGUAUACAUGGUAUUUGCCUAUAUCGUGUAGGCUAUUUGUUGUAUAUUGAAGAUCACAUCAUGUGUAAAAGAAAAAGGGCUACAUUAUGCACUAAUUGACUCUUCAUCAUGCACUGUAAUAUUGUGUCACAAAGAAAGUUGUAAAGAAAAAACACUUUUAUAGGCUAUUGUCAAUAAAAUGAAUAGACACGAUUUAGACACGAUUAAAGAGUGCUGCUGAUUCCACAUAAAUACAUACAAUCAAUUGACACAACAGACAUAGAAUGUAUGCCAGCAAGGCUGUGACUUGUUAUCUCCCUAAUCAACCUCUGUUUCCCCUGCUGUUUACAAAAUCUAUUGGCAUGGGGACAAAAUAAUGUUUAUAUCUGUUCAGCCUGCAUCUUGGCAUAACGGGUUCUCAAACUUUUUGGGGCUGUGGAACCCUUUUGUGAAAGCAAAUUUGUAAGGGACCCCCCUGAUAAUCAGAACACAACUCCAGUGUUGUACAUGGCCGGACGAACCAAGUCUCAGGCCUUGUGAUGGAACAUUUUAAAGGUCCACAUACUGGCAUCGGAGAGAACAUUUAGCAGUUUUCUAGCUAAUUUCCUGCAGUUCUAUGCAUUUUAUCAUGGGGCAGAGAGAUUGUUUGUUGGUCCAACUUUAAAGCUAAUAUCCUGCAAUUCUACACACAUUGUACAGUUUUUCCCGUGUAGCACAGCGGUCUAAGGCAUUGCAUCUCAGUGCUUAAGGCGUCACUACAGACACCCUGGAUCGAAUCCAGGCUGUAUCACAACCGGCUGUGAUUGGGAGUCCCAUAGGGCGGCGCACAAUUAGCCCAGCGCCAUCCGGAUUUGGCCUGUAUAGGCCGUCAUUGUAAAUAAGAAUUUGUUCUUAUCUGACUUGCCAACUUAAAUAAAGGUUCAAUAAAAAAAUGUGAAAAAAUUGCAGUGCAUUUGUUUAAAACUGCCAAGAAACACUCUGUGUCCCUGAUUUAGCCCACUGCAGUAAAAGGUUAACCCUGGGCAACAUGGGCAUGGGAGGCUCACAGGGAUAUUGGUAUCCACAGAACUCCAUCAAUUAUCAAUUAUUUAUUUGUUUACACAAAUCUACUUUGAAACCAAAGUAUACACCUCACACACAUGGUUAUGGGCUUUAAAAAAGGAGACACCUGUACCAUGUCAGAUAUAGAGUUGAAAUCUUUUGAAUUUUGAGUAUGCAACCCAAUAUUAUACUUUAUAUACAUCACAGAAGACUGAAAUAUAACAAAACCAGUUGUUUAAAAAAAACGAGGUUUAUUUAUGAAAAAUAUGAAUAACAUUGCACCCAUGAGGCCAGUAGUCAUUUGACUGCAGGACAAGACUACCAACCUGAAUUGUAGAUUAAUAAUAUUAGGCCUACAUGUAUUGUCCCCUCUGAACUUAAUCCACAGAUCCCUUGGCCAAAAUGUGUUUAAUCUGUUAUUAUUAGUAACAUUCUUAAAAUAAUUACAUGUAAAUAUAUAUAUAUAUAUAUAUAUAUACAUACAUUACCGUUCAAAAGUUUGGGGUCACUUAGAAAUGUCCUUGUUUUUGAAAGAAAAGCACAUGUUUUGUCCAUUAAAAUAACAUAAAAUUGAUCUGAAAUACAGUGUAGACAUUGUUAAUGUUGUAAAUGACUAUUGUAGCUGGAAACGGCAGAUUUUUUAGGGAAUAUCUACAUAGGUGUACAGAUAGAUGCCCAUUAUCAGCAACCAUCACUCCUGUGUUCCAAUGGCACAUUGUGUUAGCUAAUCCAAGUUUAUAAUUUUAAAAGCCUAAUUGAUAAUUAGAAAACCCUUUUUAAAUUAUGUUAGCACAGCUGAAAACUGUUGUUCUGAUUAAAGAAGCAAUAAAACUGUCCUUCUUUAGACUUUCUUCUGAAA